rnacentral:rRNA from 1 species
AUGGCCUCCUCAAGCUCCACUGUCGCCGCGCCUGCCCUCAUCCCCAUAGCCGACCGACUCCAUCGCUCCAACUUUCUGGUAUGGCGGGCGCAAGCCAUGGCAGCCAUCCGCGAGGUGCAGCUCGUCUCCUACCUCGAUCCAGAUCGGGAGCAGCCGGAGCAGAAGUUUCGCGACAAGGACGGCAAGACCACGGACGUGCCCAACCCUUCAUGCGACAUCGACAAGGCUCGAGAUUCUCAGGUGCUGAGUUUCAUCUUCAACUCCAUCUCAGCUCCUGUCAUGGUUCAGGUUGCACACUGCAUACGCUUCAAGCCAUCUUUCACCCUGAACAAGAUCCUGUACAUGAGGCCGCCGGCAAACAUCGUGUCCCACAACGAGCUCAUCUCGAUGUGGGAGAGCAAAGCGGGCAGGACUUUCCAGAUAGUGCGAAUCCUAGAGGCGGAUCUCCUCAAGUUGAUCAAGGAGGCGGCAUUCCCUCUGAACAUAUUGCUGUCCAUCGCGCUCACCAUCUUUGUCGGGGGUGACCAGGCUAACUUCGAGAUUGAACCAUCCUUUGGUGGUGAGACCACCGAGCUGUACCCUGACCUGAAGUACACCACUGUCGACGAGUAUCUCGUUCGCCUUCUCUGA